GUGAAAUUUAGAUCAUUGUGGCAAGUGAUAUAAAAAAGCAGAGAGAGCCACGGUAUCUUUUAAAACCUGGUCUCCAAAAUUACAUCAUCACUUCCUCCACAUUCUGUUCUUUAAAAGUAAGUCACUAAACCAACCCACAUUCAAGGGGAGGAACAUUAUACUGCACUCCACUUUUCUAAGCAAGUUAUAUCAAAAGAAUUUGUGGACUUAUUAAACUACCAGAGUGCUUUAUAAAGCUCUGCAGUGUUGAUCCCCUGUGCUCUCCUCACGAUUUAUUUAGCUUAGAUUCCCAGACUAAGAUGUACUUCUCUUCAUUUAUUUAUUCAGUUUUUGGUAGCCAAGAAUAAUUAGCUUUUAUUUUUUGCACUUGAAUGCUAAAAAUGCCUACUUUAAGAAGAUGCUCAUCAUUCCACAGCUCAUUCAAACAGGUUUCCAAAAGGAUCAUUUUUACUAAUACAGUGUUUAGGAGAAUUCUGAUUGCUUCAUAUCCUCAAUAACACUCGAUAUUGAAAUCAUUCCAGUGUUAAUGAAUCCCAUUAAAAAAUAAUUGAAGCUGUGCCCAGUGGUGCACUCCUGCAAUCCCAGUGUCUCUGGAGGCUGAGGCAGGAGGAUUGUAAGUUCAAAGCUAGCCUCAGAAAUAUAGCAAGACCCUUUCUCAAUAUAAGAAAUAAAUAGGGUUGGGGAUGUAACUUAGUGAUUAAGUGCCCUGGGUUCAAUCCCAAGUACCAAAAAAAAAAAAAACAAAAAACAAAAAACAAAAAAACAAAAAGAAAAAAGAGAACUUGAGUUUUGGAGUUUAAAGUGUUCAUUUUGUUUAAGAACUAUGUAAGUAUCACUAUCUUUAAGAACUGUUUAUGUAACUGUCACAUCUUCUCAGUAUCCUUAAAGUCAAACUACUCAGGGAAUUGGCUAUUUUGCUUAUACUAAUUCUCUUCUGAUUGGUACGUGGCAUUCUUAGGAGGUAGAGAAAUGGAACUUUAUGGAAUUGAAGAUUUUACUUAUAGAAACAUAAUUGGUUGGAUUUUGGAGGUAAAAUAGUAUGUAUUUUGCAACUGAGUUAACUAGUUUUUUAGAAACUGAUUAGAGAGACUACAUCUAGUAUAACACCAAAGAAACUUAUGUGAAAGUAUAUGACAAGUUUUUAUAAUAAAUUUUGAUAUUUUUAUAUUAGUAAUAUACUCAAUAUGUAAAUUUACUAUAUGCUUCAUAUGCUGUAUACUACAUUAAAUGUGUAUAUUAUAUAUCAGUAUAAAUAUGUUAUUUUCUGCUUUAUCAAGGAUCACUUUAUUGAGGACCACUUUAUUGAGGACCUUAGCCCAUCU
rnacentral:lncRNA from 1 species